GGAAGGGCUUGAGAUCAGACUUGGUAUUUUGCAAGUUACUCUUUCGGGGGUGGCCUCUGCGGUUUACCGGGCCAGCAUCGGUUUGGAGCGGUAGGAUAAUGGCGGGGGAAUGUGGCACGACUUUGGUUGUGUGUUAUAGCCUCUGACGAUACUGCCAGCCUAGACCGAGGACUGCGGUUUUUACCUAGGAUGUUGGCAUAAUGAUCUUAAGUCGGCCCGUCUUGAAACACGGACCAAGGAGUCUAACGUCUAUGCGAGUGUUUGGGUGUAAAACCCGUACGCGUAAUGAAAGUGAACGAAGAUGGGGGCCUGUAUGGGUGCACCAUCGACCGAUCCUGAUGUGUUC
rnacentral:rRNA from 1 species